rnacentral:lncRNA from 1 species
GCACUUGGAGUCCGGACAUCUGAAACUUGAAUUGACAAGCCGACAUCAGUCUCCAGAGUGAAUCCAAGGAGUGGACCCAAGACAUUUGUGUUCUGUGAUGUGGUGGCAUGUUACCUGUCAUCUCCGAUGCAUAACUCCUAAAGUGCGUCUGGGGCAGUUGUACAGAUUGCAGAGGAUAAUACUCAAGAUGUUCUCCAAGGCCAACUAGUCAUCAGUUUAUUCAUGUUUCUGGGAUUGGAUUCAUGAACUCAUCCUUUGAACUAUUUCAACAAGCUUUUUCAUGUAACUAAUCUGCGGAAGGUAGAAAGGGGAAAACUGUUGGGUGCUAAAAUGACAACUGGUUCAAGACCCAAGUAGGUGUUCACAGUCAGUCCUGCAGGAAGAGAUUAGAGGAUCUAGUUACCCAGGGAUCAUCUCCAUUCCUUCCAACUGAAAGGGAAACAAACAAGGAGGAGCACGCCUGGGGAGGUUUUCACAGGCCAGGACUGGAAAUGCACAUUUCUCUUUUCCUCACAUUCCAAGCUCCCAAGAUGGUGGUGGGCCACUUCCAAGAUGGUGGCAAGAGUCGUAUUCUCUGACCUGGGGUUCUUGGUCUCAUGGAUUCCAAGGAAUGGAAUCUUGCGCCAUGUGGAGAAGCGUCAGAUAAUUAGGCAGCAGUCCAACAAUUAGGUUUUGUGGAACUUUUACUAUGUCAUCUAUUUAUUGGAAUUCCCCCUGGAUACCAGGACCCCCUCCAGCAGAGCUUAAAGUUAUAGUUACAGGAAGUACAAAUUCCUUAUGUGGAUCCCUGGAAGUGUGAUGAGAAGAACCACUGUUUCCAAGAUCUAUUUAUUCUAUUUAUCAGGCCUAUAAAAUCAUGUAAUGGCCAUGGCUUCAACUAGACUCC